GAUGAACGCUAGCGGAAGGCAUAAUACAUGCAAGUCGAACGGAUGAAUCUCCUUCGGGAGUGAAGCUAGCGGCGGACGGGUGAGUAACACGUGGGCAACCUGCCUCAUAGAGGGGAAUAGCCUUUCGAAAGGAAGAUUAAUACCGCAUAAGAUUGUAGCUUCGCAUGAAGUAGCAAUUAAAGGAGCAAUCCGCUAUGAGAUGGGCCCGCGGCGCAUUAGCUAGUUGGUGAGGUAACGGCUCACCAAGGCAACGAUGCGUAGCCGACCUGAGAGGGUGAUCGGCCACAUUGGGGCUGAGACACGGCCCAGACUCCUACGGGAGGCAGCAGUGGGGAAUAUUGCACAAUGGGGGAAACCCUGAUGCAGCAACGCCGCGUGAGUGAUGACGGCCUUCGGGUUGUAAAGCUCUGUCUUCAGGGACGAUAAUGACGGUACCUGAGGAGGAAGCCACGGCUAACUACGUGCCAGCCGCCGCCGUAACAC
rnacentral:rRNA from 1 species